rnacentral:lncRNA from 1 species
UGUCAUGGCUGCUGUCAGUGAGGGCCCGUAAUGGAGAUCGAGUCAAGGGUUGCCCAGGGACACUUAAGAGCCUUCGGCUUCAAGGAGGCCUCUCAAAGGACAAAGGAUGAGACUGCCUGGCGGCAGAGUGCCCCCCACAAUCGUAGGAACUGUGUCGCCGCGCUUCCCGUUAACUUGCCGCUAAGUUUUUCUAGAAAAGUCGCCCUUCUUGCCAGGGGUGUCCUAUAGACUUUGUC